GAUGAAGAACGUAGCGAAAUGCGAUAAGUAGUGUGAAUUGCAGAAUUCAGUGAAUCAUCGAAUCUUUGAACGCACAUUGCGCCCCUCGGUAUUCCGUGGGGCAUGCCUGUUCGAGCGUCAUCUACACCCUCAAGCUCUGCUUGGUGUUGGGCGUCUGUCCCGCCUCCGCGCGUGGACUCGCCCCAAAUUCAUUGGCAGCGGUCCUUGCCUCCUCUCGCGCAGCACAUUGCGCUUCUCGAGGGGCUACGGCUCGCGUCAAACAAGCACAUUUACCGUCUUUGACCUCGGAUCAGGUAGGGAUACCCGCUGAACUUAAGCAUAUCAAUAAGCGGAGGA
rnacentral:misc_RNA from 1 species